GGUGAACGCUGGCGGCGUGCUUAAGACAUGCAAGUCGAACGCAGUCUUCGGACUGAGUGGCGCACGGGUGAGUAACACGUAACUGACCUACCCCCAAGUCGCGGAUAACUGGCCGAAAGGUCAGCUAUACGUGAUGUGAUGUCCCCUUUCUGGGGGGCCAUUAAAGGUUUACUGCUUGGGGAUGGGGUUGCGUUCCAUCAGCUAGUUGGCGGGGUAAAGGCCCACCAAGGCAACGACGGAUAGCCGGCCUGAGAGGGUGGCCGGCCACAGGGGCACUGAGACACGGGUCCCACUCCUACGGGAGGCAGCAGUUAGGAAUCGUCCACAAUGGGCGAAAGCCUGAUGGAGCGACGCCGCGUGAGGGAUGAAGGUUCUCGGAUCGUAAACCUCUGAAUCAGGGACGAAAGACGCGUAAGCGGGAUGACGGUACCUGAGUAAUAGCACCGGCUAACUCCGUGCCAGCCGCCGCAGUAA
rnacentral:rRNA from 1 species